AAUCUCAAUCCCCCCGGGUUUAUGAUCUGGGUUGGGACUUGGACUUGGGUGCUGCCGGUUACAUGGCUCGCCUCAAAUGACUUAGUGGAUCUCUCUGCAUCCGUGACAGACGUAAUAAGUUUCGUCUUGUCCCUUGCUGUCUGAGUCUGCUCCUAACCUGCCAUUGUGCACUUUUAGA
rnacentral:misc_RNA from 1 species